CAAACACACACUGCUUCUCUUACACACACACACACAGAAACACAAUGCAUCUUACACACACACUCAACGCACCCCUUACAGACACACACACUGCAUCCCUUACAUACAAAGAAACACACUUUGCAUCCCUUAUGCACACAAACACAGAUUCACACAAUGCAUCCCUUACACACAACAAGAAACACACAAUACAUCCCUUAUACACACACACACUGCUUCCACUACACACAAAC